rnacentral:lncRNA from 1 species
ACAAAAAUAGUGUUGAUAAUUGACCCGUAUUGGAAAAUUAUCCUUUUUGAUCAAUGUGUAGGCCGUUCAAGCGAAGCAUCAGAAUGAUUGGGAAGUUGUGAAACAUGGUUGGCAUGCUCAGGUACUUGGUGAUCCCCCACCCAAAUAGAUGAAGAACAUGCCCAGACAAGAAUAUGUAGCUCACUUGAGAUGGUAAUUUGGUGCUACUGAUGUGAAACUUUCUGGUGAACCAAAACUCCCCUUUUUUCUGCACCCAUUCUCAAUGGAC